rnacentral:rRNA from 1 species
UACGUAGGUGUCGAGCGUUGUCCGGAUUUAUUGGGCGUAAAGCGCCCGCAGGCGGCUUGGCAAGUUUGAGGUGAAAUCUCCCGGCUCAACUGGGAGGGUGCCUCGAAAACUGCCAGGCUUGAGUCAUGGAGAGGGAUGUGGAAUUCCCGGUGUAGUGGUGAAAUGCGUAGAUAUCGGGAGGAACACCAGUGGCGAAGGCGACUACCUGGCCUGUUCUUGACGCUGAGGCGCGAAAGCUAGGGGAGCAAACGGG